AAUGGUAUGUUAUGUCGUGCAGUAGUUUCUUUAAACAGCAAUGAUGAAUGGUUACACUUUCAUGCCAAUAGUUUUACUGUUUCAUAUGACAGUGAUUUCUCUCCAAUAUAUUCUGGAAAAAGAGAAAUCUUCUGAGAAAUUUGUUUUCUUGUUUUCAAAAGAACUCAAUGAUACCGUUUUUGAGGAACUUGAGAAAUCUCACUGGAAUAAACUCUACCAGAUAACUCCUACAACCUUCAUAUUCCAAUAAAAAGGCAGAACCAUAAAUGAGGCAAUUGGAGGAGUAAAAAGGAAGUUUAAAAAUCAGGUAGGUAAUUCUUGCUAGUUUCAGCUUCUUUCCUGUUAAAUACCGUGGUUUCACUUUUUUUAAACAAGUAUAUAAUGGAUAUGAUGUUCAUAUUUUGAUGAAUAUAGUUAGUAACAGUACGAUUUGAAUUUUAAAUUUAGUAAUUAAACUCAAAACCUACUUUUUACUGAAAUCAGCUUUAAAUUUACGCUGCCAUAAAUGUGGAACAGUGAUUUUGGAAUAUUUUAAAAAUAAACCAAAUACAUAAAAAUUGGAAAUAGAUAAGGCCAAUUAUUGUUCACGUUAUAUUAAUUGUGCCUACAACUUGAUAAAUAUUUUCGUUAAUAUUUAAGCCGGGAGUUGAUAAUAUAAUAAUAAUUAAGAAAUAAUUUAUAGCAAAAGAGUGCUUUAACACUAUUUAUGCACGAUGGGCGGUUGUACGUCGGGCUAAUAAUUUCACGAGGGCGCACCCUGAGUGAAAUUAUUUGUGCGACGUAUUACCGCCCGAGUGUAUACAUAGUGUUAAAACACGGUUUUGCUAUAAAUUAUUUCGAUUCUAAUAUGUCCUUUAUCUAAAACAGCAGAUAAAAUAUAGGAGCGCUCUUUCCUGGUCGCAAUAAAAACUUUGACGUCACUGCACGUUAACGUGACGCCAGUCUAUCGUAAGAGUGUUAUAACAGAGACAAGCAUAUUAGAAUAAUAAAUACUUCAAUAUUUACCGUGGUGGGCAAUUAUUUGUGCGGGUGGAAUUAAAAAACUAUAUUUUUAGUGAAAUGUCAUGUAAUUACAAUAAACUAAACCUUAAUUUUUUAUUGAUAAAGAACUGUAACUGUUGUGAAAAUAAAGAUGUCAAUAUUGGAUGAGUCAUUUUUGGUAUCAGUCAUUGACACGAUAACAGUUUUUUUUCAUGAUUAAAACUGUAUGCUAACCAAGUACAUAGGUUUAAACGAUCAUCUCUUAUCUCCUAUGGUGCACGUGCAACUAAUACUUAUUGAUAUUAAGAUACAAAUAAUUGAUAUUUUCCUUAGGUGAAGUUUAUUUUAAAAAAUGAUAUUUUAAACAAGCUGUGUAAAACACUUGCUAAACUGAAACAUUCAAGUCGAGAAAAAGGAAUACCGCAUAUUAGUUUUUGCUCAUAUUAAUAAUUCAUAGAUCCGAUAUGUCAAGAUAAUGCGUUAUCCGUCGAUCCGUUAUUAUCAUUGUGUCUCACAAGCUUACCGUAUGAUUAAGUACUUACAGACUGUAAAGUUCUAAAUAAAAAUAAAAAUUAUUUUUCAUGGGCAUACAUUCGGAGGAAGGUGUUUCUGCAUAUCUUUUUUUUCAAAUUGCUAUGUAUAUAUUUUGGAAUUGUGCAUGCGUGCAUGCGUGCGUGCGUGUGUGUUUUAAUAUCGAAAUUAGCAGACAUAUUCCGUAACGAUGAAUAGAUAUAAUAGACAACUAUUUCUAAACAUUUUUGUUUUCAAAAUACAAAUUUCAAUAGGUUGUUUAUAGAAUUAACACGAUUAAAGUUAUUGUAUGGCGUCUGCAUUUAAUAACCACAUAUAUGUCCUUAAAUAUCAUUUUGUACAGCUUAUAAGAAUUAAGUAAAUUUGUAGCAUUGACAGAUCAAAUAAUGAGAUGGUUUGAUUAACGAUAUCAAUAAAUGUGUUGCAUAUUGAAAAACGUUAACACCUGAUGAUUUGUGUCUCCUCCUUUACUUCCUGUAUAUAUCUGGGGUUAAGGUCAUAACAGCUGAUUAAAACUGUACAUUUUGAUUGGUGGAAGGUCCACAGCUUUUCGAAUGUAAUAGAUGAUAUUUUCUUACGGGGUGUGCAGGUACUCAAACUGAAAUAGCUUACAUCAUAAACCUGAAUCCCCUCGGUAGUGAAUUCGACUUCAAACAUGCCAUAUCUGAAUGACAUUCCUAAAAUCGAUUUACAGUCAACUUGUCCCCUUGUCAACCAUUUUGGUCAUUUCGUAUCCCUUGAUGCUUUCAAACUGGUCAUUUCUUCCCCUACUUUUCGGGUCUCCUUUUCAGUCUUAUUUUUGUCAAAGUUUCCUAGAUUCUGAUUAGUAUAAUUAUGAUGUAAAGUAUGUGUUCUGUAAAAUAUGUUCUACAUAAAAACAUGAAAAUGUUACUUUAACAACUACAUUUUGUAUUGCUUUUUAAAUACAAGGUGCAGAGUGCAUGCAUGUUUCGUAGCUUAAAGAGUGCAUUGGCUAAUGCGGCUGUGUAUCAUUUUGAAAUGAUGAUACUUCUAGUUUUCGUUUGCGUUGGUGACAACCGUGAUAUCAAUUGACAGAAGUUUAACUUUUUUUAAACCGCCGAACAUUCCAUCAAUGUAGGACCAUGCUCAGGGACACACAAACACUGUGGAAUUUUCCUAAAUAACGAUGUUGGGGCUAACAGUAUUAGUUGAGUCUCCAGAAGAAUUUAACAUAUUAAAAUGAAAUACAAUGAUUUUAAUUCUCAAAUUAAAUAAAAGCAAACAAAGAAAUGACUGAACGUUUGAAACAUAAUCGGUUGCGUAAAAGCAAACAUAUCAUGCGAGGGGAUAAUACUUAAAUACUUACAAAGCGCAGGUGUUAUUCAGUGAAUUAAAGAGAACAGAAAAUGUAUUUCAACUUUAAUAUAUUUAUGGACAUAACUCUCUUUGCAAGAUAACAACUGUGUCGUGACGUUUUUUAUUAUGUGUAUUACACUUUAUCUCAAAAGUCUGUGUGCACUGUGUGCGGUCCCAAAAUAAAUGAAUUUAUCAAAUCCUAUGACUUUCGUAUCUAUAAAGACCUUAUUAGCAACGACAUUUAACAGCUCUAUUUCACCACUUUUCUUCAUAGAAUUAAGUUUAAUGUUAUUAAAUGGUAUAAUAUUAUUAAAUGAUUCAUUAAGCGCGGGAUCUGACAGGUGUUCUAGCUUUUGUGACUGCUCGAUCCGUCGUCCGUCGUGCGUCGUACGUCCGUCAACAAUUUCUAAAAUAAAUCUUCUUCUUCAAAACCAAUUGGAAGAUUUACAUCAAACGUCGCAUAAAUGAUUCCUUGGAGGCCCCCUUGCAAAAUUGUUCAAAGAAUUAAAUUCCAAACAGAAGUUUAGUUGUCAUGGCAACCGAAAGAUAAAACUUAAAAAAAUAUCUUCUUGUCUAAAACCGCAACCGUUUCGAUGCAUUUGCAAUAAUGUCCCACUGCUGAAAUUACCAAUAACUAGAUUGAACGUAGUUUUCAGAAAUUGUUUAGUUUUAUUUCUUUACAAAUGUUAUUCAUUUUUAAAGAGGGGCAACUUUUUGAGAAUAUUUUAAGUAUCCGACAUAUGAGACAGUACGGCAGGACAUGUAAAGGUCAGAUAGAUCGUUUGUAAAGAUGUUGUACGUUUAUCAAAUAUUUCUGUGUUUUGAAGAUAUACUUCCUAACCUUAAUUUAUGCUUUCAAGGUAAAAAAUAUUUAUAUAAAAGGUCAUGUUUUUAAUAUAAAAAUCUGUUACACAGUAUGAAAGGCAGCAUGAGGACAUGUAUCUGUACGUAUAUGCUAACAUAUGAUAAGAUGAAAUAGUAUAGAUGCAGUGAUACAGUUCUGAAUUUAUCGAGCUAAUUACAAACAAUUACAAACAAUCAGAUGCCCUCAGUCAGAACCUUAUUAACACCCUGGUAUUAAAUUAUAUAUAUAUAUUUAGUUGUAGUUGUGUUUACGUGAGCUUUAAUUUUAUUAGAAUAUGACAAUACACGCACAAACUUCUUAUUCUUCAGCAGUAUUGAGAUUAUCAUCCAAUACCAUUAAAGUCUAGCUGAUUGAUAUAGCAUCACUUAAUUAUGUAUGAUUUUGGCUUAACAAUGAGAUUCGAUUGCAAUUUAAGAAUUCUGGCUAUAUUUGCACAUGAACAUCAGUUGCGAAAACGCACUCCUUUUAUAUUAAUAGGUUAUUAGCUUUGUAUCGGGAAAUAUGCACGAGUUCUGCAGCGGAAAUACUGUGCGACUUUAGGAGUGCAAUAUUCUUCCGCUAUAGAAAGAGUGCAUAUUUCCUGAUGCAAAGAUGAUAGCCUUUUUAUUACAUACGUAUCUACACGUAUAAAUAUAAUGUUAAUAUUAUGCAUUUGUUCAAUAGCCUGGAUAAGGUUAAAAAUACUGAACUAAAUCAGUGUAGCAUUGGUCUGCAGAUGCGUCAAGUGUGGUAUGCCGUGUGUUGUGUGCAUGUCACCUUCCGCUUUCAGCUUCCGCCGCUGGCUAGCCUUCUGGUGAAAAAGAAGCCGUAUGCGUAAGUCUUCCCUGCCUGUACAUAGCCUCUCUGCAAACAAGCCCCUUUGCUGUGCCUCCCAAUUGGCGCCACACGGUAACUGAGCACCUUGCGGCCUCAGACAGAACUGCAGGGGACUCGGAGGAGGUCUGCCCCCAGACAUGUGGCAUGCCAGGCCCACCGGUGUGUGGACACGCCCUGAUGCCUAUGAACAGAUCCCCAGCUAUGGGACAAAUAGCCCUUGCGUUCACAGGGUAGGGUAUGAACUCGGAACUAAGGGUGAGGUAACCCCGACAGAAACAUAGAGAGUUGAAGACAGAGGAGCUGGGCCAUUGGCACUCUCUUAACAAACCACAGCACCAUGCAAUAUCGCUAUGGCUACACAGCAAUUCGGUAUUCAACAAUGUUGUACUGAAUCUCUGAAGUCCCUCUAGGGUGAUUCAGAGCCGGGCUCUGAGCCUCAACAGAGUCCACCCACAGCUACUGGGGGUCCCUCCUUCAAUCCAAAACAUGCAAAGAGAAGGAGGAACAUACCAAGGAGAAAAACCAAUCCGCAUCAGCCUUUCAGGUUGAUGUAUUGGUAAACGGAGGGUGUCUUCAACAGGAAAGCUGAACUUGAGCAUAUCCUCCAUGAAAAAGACAUCAAUGUCUGUUGCAUACAGGAAACUACUCACCUACAACCAGAGAAAUCCUUCAAAGUCAGAGGAUACCAGUGUUUCCGCUGUGACAGAAUUGGCAGACGAAAAGUAGGCAUCAUGACAUUGGUCAAGAACAGUGCUGCCCAGACCAACAUGCAUAUGGAUGACUCUGACUUCCAAGUUCUGAGCCUAAGAAAAAACGAGUUCGCUUUGAACCUUGUGAAUAUAUACUCUCCAAGGGACAAAGCUCUGUCCCUGGACAAAGUUACAACUGAUGAAACCAGGUUCAUCACUGUAGAGGAGACUUUAGCAGUCACUCACAAAGCUGGAGAUAUGACCACCUUGAUAAACGUGGAGAGGAAGUGGAAACCUGGCAAGAUGAUAACAAGCUUAACCUCAUCAACAGGCCGGAGGACUCCACCCCCCCCCCCCCCACCCCACCCCACACCUCCCCCUCCAACAUUUUACUCCAGAAGCUGGCAAACAACGUCAAACCCUGAUUUUGCUUUAUGUACUAAUGACAUACAUGGCCAUGCCAGGCGGGAACUAAGAGGAAGCGACCAUCGCCCAGUCCAUCUUACUAUGGACAGAAUACAAGAGAAGGCCAGAUGGACCUUUUACCAAAGUCUGAGUGAUAAGCUCUGCAAAGACAUCAGAGUGGAAGGUAAAGACAUCAACCGGGUUGUCAAAGACUUCAACACCAGUGUACUAAAGGCUGCUUACAGCGCCAUUCCAAGGGGAGCAAGAAAGGAGUAUAAGCCAUACUGGAGUGAUGAGUUGCAGAAUCUACAGGCAAAGUUAUCAGAAGCCAGGGAGGAAGCAGAAAACAAUCACAAGAAAGUAACCUUUCUCUACAAAUUCCUCAGGCACAAACUGGAAGCACAGAGGAAGAGCUGGAGAUAAAAACCCUCGCUCAACCUAGAACGAGAUGGCCAAAAGCUGUGGAGAUUGACGAGACAGCUGAACGAUGAAGACACAGGAAGAGGCCCAGAAAAUUUGGAAGAGAAUGGUGAACUGUUGACGGUAAACAAGCGGCAAACACUUUUGCCUCCAACUACAAAGAUGUUUCUAACAUCCCCAUCAACAGGGAACGGCAAGGGAAAGCCCGAAGAGAAAAAAGGGAAAAGCAGACAAGCCAAGCGGCAUCAGAAUCAUGAAACAGUCUUAAACUACAUAAGCUACUGACAGCUCCUAGGCAGUUGAAGACAAAGAUGUCUCCUGGACCAGAUGGAGUCACAAAUGAAAUGCUGACACAUCUAGGCACAGCAGCAAUGUGCAAACGCCUGGAUUUACAACUACAGCUGGACACAAGGACUGCUUCAACAGAUAAGGAAAGAGGCAGUCAUGAACCCCAUCUAUAAGAAAGGGAAAGAUCCAAAGUAGGCUGCAAGAUACCGUCCUAUCAGCCUAACCAGCUGUGUUGGAAAGACCAUUGGGAGGAUUGUGAAUGCACGCCUGAAGUGGUACAUGGAGACUAACAACUUACUCGCAACGCAACAAGCUGGCUUCAGACAAUUCCGCUCCACAGAGGACCAGAACACUAAUCUAUCGCAAGAGAUAGAGGACUCUUUCCAAGAGCAGAAAAUCGUGCUAACAGCAUGUAUUGAUCUGCAGCAGUGUUCGACAAAGUCUGGACUGAUCUGCAGCAGUGUUCGACAAAGUCUAUACUGAUGAACUCCUCGUCAAACUGAUGAGGAGUGGAGUAGGAGGUCACAUGCUGAGGUGGAUUAAGUCGUACCUCUAUAACAUGAGAGCAAGAGUAAGCUAAGAACAUGCCAGCAGUAGAAAGUUCCUGUUGCGUCAUGGUGUCCCGCAAGGCGGAGUCUUAUCACUCUUUCUGCUUUUCAUCAAUGACCUGGUGCCUGAACUACAGAAAGGAGUUAAGGCUGCACUGUACGCUGACGACCUGGUGUUAUGGUGUAAGGAAGAACAUGCCAUGACAGCCAUACACAGUAUACAAGAAGCCAUCAAAAGGUUUCACCUUGGGCUGAAGAUUGGUUUGUCUCGAUCAAUACAGAAAAAAUCGUCCACUUCACUAUUCUCCCUGUUGUCAACGCAGAGGGUGGGUAAAAUCAAGAUGGGAAAUACUUCGCUGACUGAAGCAGACGAGGCAAAAUACUUUGGAAUGACCUUUGACAAACGGCUAACCUGGAAACCCUACAUUAGUCAAGCAGAAGGGAAGUAAAUACUAAAGACAGUAUAUCAGGGAACAGUGAAACCCCACUUAGAGUAUAGCUCAACUGCCUGGUCCACUACUGCCAAAACUAACCAAAAGGCUCUAGACAAGGUUCAAAAUCAAGCAUUGUGGAUCAUGACAGGUGCUACAAAGUCUACACCAAUCUUCUUCAUGGAGAAGCUAACAGGUAUUCGAGAGUUCAAAACUGUGCUGAACAUACCAACGACUCCCCUAGGUAGUGAAAACAUUAUGAACCCUCUAGCGAAUGAUCUGUCUGCAGUGACUGUGAGACUUGCUGUUCCUUGUCUUGACCGCAGAAGGCAAGAGGAUGAAGGUAUUCGGGAGAGACUCACACUUGCUAUGAUCAAUGAAGACUAUCCUCCGGAAAAAUGGACUCAUGCCUAUACAGAUGGAUCAGCUACAUGCGCCAUUAAGAUGGAUGAGCAGGAGUUUUCAUUUAAUACCCAUCUGGCAAGAGAGAAAUACCACAUGCAGCCACAAGAAAGCACUGCAACAAUUACAAGGCAGAGACUGAAGCACUCAUGAAGGCCGUCUCAAUGGUUGAAGACUCGGCAGAAGAAAGCUCCUCAGUCGUCUUUCUCACAGAUGCACUCUUAUGGAAGCUCUGAUCAACAGUAAAGCUCCGCAGCUAGCCAGGAUAAUGCAGAGCUUGAGUAUUUCCUGCAAAAUAGCACUUCAGUGGAUUUCAUCCCAUUGUGGACUUGCAGGCAAUGAAGAGGCAGACCAAUUGGCUAAGCUAGGAGCUCAGGCAGAGCAACCAACAACACCUGUGAGUUACAAAGAGAAAGUCACCAUCAUCAAGGCACUAAUGAGACCAAGAAUUGAGGAAGAUGCUUUUCAUCUCCUUCAUCGGUCUGAACAAGUGAUGCUGGCCAGGCUUCGCUCAAGAGGCACAACAAGCUCAAUGCUCACAUGUACAAGAAAUACAGACUGGCACCAUCACCAACUUGUCCAUGUGGUGAGGAAGAUCAGACUAUGGAGCAUAUACUUCAGAGAUGUAAAAGGCAUGAACAGGAGGGAGCUGCAACUUGGCCGAUAGAAACCUCAAUCCACCAGAAACUGUAUGGAGGCAUUGAGGAUCUGCGGAAAACCACAAACUUCAUUGAGGCUACUGGUCUGCCAGUGUAGUCGCGAACGAAGAAGUAGAAGAAACUGAAUUAAAUAAGAAAAUAAUUAAUGCAUCAACACAUUAAAUAACGUCAUGCACCUGAUAUGAAAUUCAGGCGGCAGUGUAUUGAAAAAUGUUCACGUUUCCGGUACCACUGUAAUUAACGGGGAAUAGAAACGAGUAUGUUAUAAAAGCACUUUUAUAUGCUAUGACCAUGACUAAAAUCUGCAUAGUUGACAGAUAUAAUUCUUCAUCUUAAAUUUAUAGUUAAUUGAAAUAGAGCAAGUGAAGAACUACAUUGAGGUUAGUAGAACAAACGAAACAUCUUUAGACCAAAACCAAACAUAUUUUGAUCUAGUACAGGUAAGUUCAACUUGAAUGUUCAAACUUUAUUUCAAACCAGAACAGCGACAAAAUUAAAUCAUGUUCACUUACUUUCUUUCCUUACCGUGAAUCAUGUUGAGUUGGUUAAAAUCAAUGUCGUAUCAGAUCAGGCAAAAUAUUAGAAAAAAAGAUAGAAAUGUUUUAUUUUAUGUUUCACCUCUUAUUGAUAGGUAUGUCUAAAUUAGAUACUUAUUUUUUUUAAUUGAUAUGCGAGUUAUUUUCAUGGUGCCUGUGUUCAUCGAACGUGACCUGUUGCAAUUGCUACAAACUGUAGGUAAAGGUUUGCUUUGGGUAAACAAGAAUGCUGAAAAUGAAAGUGUAAGAGAACGCCCUGAUUAUUUUAAAAGUUAAAUCUAAAAACAAUCAAAAAUCUAAAAUUUGCCAACAUUAUGCACUCUUAAAAGCCUAAAAUGCAGUUGUGUUUUAUCUUGACCAGUCAAAUCUAGUAUGUGACCAUUACUACGGGAUGGGCGUCGAGAAUGCAUGGUCACGUGGCUAUAGUGGAAAGGGCGUCGUGGUUGCCGUAACUGAUAUAGGGAUAAAUACAGAUUUGAUUGGUCUUCAGCCAAAUAUAGGAGGAAUCGUUUACUGAGUAAGUUUCCUAAAUGUUCCUUUUGCCAGGGUGCAUGUACCACGUGACUUUUUCGCUAAUCUGGGGUGCCAAAAAGAUGGCGGAUUCCUCGAUAAAGACAUUUGUGUGCCGGGAAUGCGGAAGGACAUAUUAUUCCAGAAAAAGCCUUCUGCGCCACGAAAGAGGCUACAGGAAUCUUUGACCUUAUAACUGCGGCGGGUGGUCUUUCCCGGGUCGAAGAGGACUAGGAGCUGUACAGGUAUUUACGGUCGGUCCUCCUGGACACGAGCUAGCUAAUAACGAGUAUACAAUCACAGUGAGUGCAGUUGGUCAAAAUGGAACAAUUCCGAUUGAUUCAGUCAUAAGCGCGAGUGUACUAACUUCGGGACUUCGAAACGGAAAUAAUCUCACUGCCAAUUCUAUGCUUACUACAUCAUUUGGGAACAAAUGUGUAACAGGUUUUGCGGGAGUAUCUGCUGCAACCGCGCAAGUUGCCGGAAUUAUAGCGUUAGCCUCGGAAGCAAAACCGCAGCUGAAAUUGGCAGACAUCCAAGAUUUAAUUGUUUAUUCUUCAGACAUGGAUUGUUUACAAGAAUCAACAAAUAUAACAACAAACGUAGCUGGACUGAAAUCUAUGAUGAAGCACAAGGAUAUACUGCAGAGUUCUGUUAUAGCUGUUCUCAAGAUAUUGCCGGUUCUAUGAUUGCAUCAGGUUGUCUGCAUGUCGUAAAACCGUAAAGAUUCAAGUAACUUAUCACACAUCUGCUACAUACAUGCGCAUGUAUUUGAUCUCGCCGAGCGGGACAGUGUCAAUUUUACAGGAUUUUAAAUCAAACAGUGUGCAAACAGAAUCAACAAGAAGAAAACAGAUUCUUACAUCAGUUCAUUUCUGGGAUGAAGAUGCAUUUGGACUUUGGAGAUUCCAGCUCAAGUCUAAUGGAAAAACUGAUGUGAUAGGAAAUGUUUCACUGACAUUUUUUGGAACUAGAUCAAACAUGACAAGAAAGGACACAAUGUUGAAGGACAAAACUUGUGCACCAGCAUGUCAAUCUCUACCCAGCGAUUCUGAUCAUACGGAUAGUUGCAAUAUCAUAAUUGCCGCUGUUGUUACUCCUUCUUGCAUAUUUGUGAUUAUAGUUAUCAUAGUUGUAUCAUGUAUUAUACACAAAAAGAGAACAAGAGGAACAACCGAUGAAUCACAUAGAUCACAUGAAAUGAAUGACCCAUCAAACAAAGCCCUUAUUGCCUGAAAUAAAAAACAAAGGCAAACAAGUGCGUUCCGUAAAACACGGACGCAAAUAUAUGCUUUUGUUUCUAUCAAAAUGUGUUAAACUUGUGUCGUUCGAUGUGUGACAUUUUUAUAUUUCAGAUGAAAUUAUUAAAUAUUAAAUGACAAUGAAAUUUUGAAUGAAUGUGGAAUGUGGAACGUACCUAUUUCUUAAAUAUAAGCAGCAAAACUACUGAAAAUGUUUACAUGCCUACUAUUUACCUAACACAAGACAACGAGAUGAAAUGCGGAAAAUACAGAUCUAUUUGAAAAUUAGUUAAAACAGGAUAGCGAAUUAUCAAUUAUUCCAUGGCCACAUUAUUGGAAAAAAUAAAA